AUUGAACGCUGGCGGCAUGCCUUACACAUGCAAGUCGAACGGCAGCACGGGUCCUUGCACCUGGUGGCGAGUGGCGCACGGGUGAGUAAUACAUAGGCACAUGUACCGCAGUGGGGGAUAGGCCGGUGAAAGCCGGUUUAAUAACGCAAACGAUCCACGGGUUAAAGCGGGGGCCCUUCGGGCCUCGGGCUUUGGGGUUGGAAGGUUGCUGAGAGCCUAGUUGGGGGGGUAAGGGCCUACCAAGGCGACGACCAGUAGCUGGUCUGAGAGGACGACCAGCCACAGUGGUACUGAGACACGCACCAGACUCCUACGGGAGGCAGCGUUGGCGAAUUUUCGACAAGGGGCGAAAACGUGACCCAGCAAAGCCGCGUGUGUGAAGAAGGCCUUCGGGGUGUGAAGCACGUUUGUCCGUAAAGAAAUCCUUGACUCUAAGACAGACAGGGUAUGACUGUACCGGAAGAAUAAGCACCGGCUAACUACGUG
rnacentral:rRNA from 1 species